ACUCAUCCCUAGAAGGCCCAUCGUCACGCCCGCAGACUAUGGUUUCCUUCCGUUCGCCGCCUCUCCCGACUGGAUCAUCAUCGAGCGUCCCCUAUAGCCGCUCUUGCGGAUUUUCGCCUGGCCGUGUCUUUUCUUCGGGCCAUCGACGGUGACUUCAAUGUUCCAUCAAUGUUGGAAUCGAUCUACAAAACAUGGGUAUGAUCCAAUCCAUCCUCUCCUGCAGCUAACUCUAACUUAUAUACAUCUAAUCCCCUACCAUGAAUCUGUACCACCAUGAUUUGAAGAAAUCAACCCAGCGUUUUUGCAUAUGUGCCAAUUCUCUUCCCGGCGGAGUCGAUCAAGAAAGGUAUUGAUUGGCUGAUGUGUACAAGAGUGUACUAACUUCUAGACGUCAACUUGCUUCUUCGUCGCCGCUGCCAUUGGACGUUCAUCACAGUCAACGAGGGCGGGGUGGAGGAUGGCAGCCGGACACGUACACGGCCCGAACUUUUAUUGGGAAUAUUGAAGGAGCUUCUCAAUUGUUGGGCGGCCAGGGCUGACGCUACCUUUGGUUAUGACGUGGGUUGUUACCGAUGCUCUUGCUCCAAUUAAACUCCCGCCCAUCCAAACUCAGAUUCAGGACAGCCCCACGCCAUCAAAUGUACUUCAGACAACAAAGAUGAGAACAGCAAACAUAGCUUCCGCUCAUGGAUUAUUAUUGGCCAAUACUUUUAACAGGAGCAACACUUACGUACUUGACUUCAUGUUCGGCCCUUUCACAUGGGCUUGCUAGCACUGGAGCUUGCAAUGAAGGAGGAGUAGGUGUAAUUAGCAAGGUACUAGUUUCUUGCAGUUUUGUGAGGGUUCGUCAUCCAGCCUGUUAUCGUAAAUAGCGGAGGGUCCAUUGUUCCUGAUAAUGAGCGUCUCAAGUAGUAUAGCUGCUGGUGUUGCUGGAUCAACACAUCAACGUAGAGGCCUUGGUCUCUUGGACAACAUGUGGAGCAUAUAUCAUAUUUGUUUUGAACUGAGAACAUAUAUCAUAUUGUAAAGCA